UGGGGAAUUUUGCACAAUGGGGGAAACCCUGAUGCAGCGACGCCGCGUGAUUUAGAAGGCCUUCGGGUUGUAAAAAUCUUUUUUACGGGAUGAAAAUGACAGUACCGUAAGAAUAAGGUCCGGCUAAAUACGUGCCAGCAGCCGCGGUAAUACGUAUGGACCGAGCGUUGUCCGGAAUCAUUGGGCGUAAAGGGUACGUAGGCGGCCUAGUAAGUUAGAAGUGAAAUAAUAUAGCUCAACUAUAUAAAGCUUUUAAAACUGCUAGGCUUGAGAGAUGGAAGGGAAAGUGGAAUUCCUAGUGUAGCUGUGAAAUGCGCAGAUAUUAGGAAGAAUACCGGUGGCGAAAGCGACUUUCUGGUCAUCAUCUGACGCUGAGGUACGAAAGCGUGGGUAGCAAACAGG
rnacentral:rRNA from 1 species